AUGCUGAAGCCAGGGGAGCUAAAGUCUACUGGAGGUAAGACUUAGGGUAUGUGUACGGUGCACAGAAAACUCCAAAGCACUAAGUUAAUUGAUCUGGGCUCUGAGACUCAGUGUUCCAGGUUUUUCUAUGCAGUGUACACAUACCCCUGCCUUGAGACUAGGGAUGUUGCUCUAGUUAGGAAGGACCCUAAGACACCAGGUGAAUUUGGCACUGAUGCCACCUUAAGGAUGGGACAGAGGGGUAUUCAAAGCACCCUAACACAUGAUGUGUUAUGAAAUUCUUGCCCUCUACAUAGUCUCGGGUUCAGAUUCUUCCCUGCUAUAACUCCAUUGAUAGGACUACUCAUGUGCUUAAAGUUAAGCAUGUGCUCAAGUGACUUGCUAGGUCAAGUCCAGAGUGUUCAGAACCAGGCAGGAUCAAGCCCAUAGAGCACUACUGUGGUUUAAACCAUCAUCGCUCCAUCAGACGUUUGGACUGAGGGGUGAGUCCACAGAGCACCAGCCGCAGUUAUGCCUUUGAAGGUUAUCUUAAGGAGGUGAAGAUUGUCACAUCAUUUCCAUGUACUACCUUGUCUUAGACUGUAAAUUCCUUGGAGCAGGGACCAUUUGUUCUGUGUUUGUAGAGAACCUAGGUUCCUGGUCCAUGUCUGGAGA